AAUAUCAAAACACAUAAUGUCUUAUAUGAUUUUUCUUAUAUGUUCUAUAAAUGACAGGUCUUUAUGAAUGAAUUUGCAUCAAUGGUACAAGAAGUUGGUGCAUCUUUGGCAAGACUUUCUACCAAAUUGGUUAAGGCAAAAGAGCUCUUCCCUAGGAAUCAGUUGGUCAAGAAGGUAGAUGAAGUGUUGGGAAAGAUGGCAAGAGAACAAUCAAUUCUCAGCCAAGAUGAAGAAAUAUUUGGAUCAGAGGAUUUUUUGAAUGCCAUAGCUCAAAUUGAGAAGGAACUAAUGGAGGCAAGUGAAGCAGAAAAAAAAGAAAAUAGGAAAUGAGAAGGAAUAUGAUAUAAGGAAGGCAUUCAGUUUGGGUUGCAACUUAACUCCCCCAACUCCAACAACUGAAGCACAGAUUAAUGUUGCAGCCACAACUUCAACAACAACUGAUGCAAAUGUUUCUUCUAAGCCAGAAGAGGAAAGAGUUGGAGGUUCAAAUUCUGAAGAACCACAAGAUGGAGGAAAUUCAAAAAAAGGUAAAAAGUUCACUUAUAUAGUAUUAAAUGAACAUUUGUGAUUGUAAGAUAUUCUUCUUUAAUGAUACUAAGUCUA